AUCCAGUUAACGAGUCCCAAAUAGGACAAAACGAGCGUCCUGGAU
rnacentral:hammerhead_ribozyme from 1 species